rnacentral:misc_RNA from 1 species
UCCGGUUUGACACCGGCAGUCCCCUUAGAGUCCCCAGCAUAACCUGAUGGUAACUAAGGGCAAAGGUUUCGCUCGUUAAGGGACUUAACCCGACAUCUCACGACACGAGCUGACGACAGCCAUGCAGCACCUGUACCAGUUCCACCCCGAAGGGCGUACCCCACUUUCAUGGGGAUAAUCCUGGCGAGUCAAACCCAGGUAAGGUUCUGCGCGUUGCUUCGAAUUGAACCACAUGCUCCACCGCUUGUGUGAGCCCCCGUCAAUUCCUUUGAGUUUUAGCCUUGCGACCGUACUUCCCAGGCGGUCCACUUAGCACUUUUGCUUCGACCCUGAAUCCGUCAGAGGAACCAGGAUCUAGUGGACAUCGUUUAGGGCCAGGACUAC